AUUGAACGCUGGCGGCAUGCCUUACACAUGCAAGUCGAACGGUAACAGGUCUUCGGAUGCUGACGAGUGGCGAACGGGUGAGUAAUGCAUCGGAACGUGCCCAGUAGUGGGGGAUAGCCCGGCGAAAGCCGGAUUAAUACCGCAUACGACCUGAGGGUGAAAGGGGGGGAUCGCAAGACCUCUCGCUAUUGGAGCGGCCGAUGUCAGAUUAGCUGGUUGGUGGGGUAAAGGCCUACCAAGGCAACGAUCUGUAGUUGGUCUGAGAGGACGACCAGCCACACUGGGACUGAGACACGGCCCAGACUCCUACGGGAGGCAGCAGUGGGGAAUUUUGGACAAUGGGCGCAAGCCUGAUCCAGCAAUGCCGCGUGCAGGAAGAAGGCCUUCGGGUUGUAAACUGCUUUUGUCAGGGAAGAAAUCUUCUGGGUUAAUACCUCGGGAGGAUGACGGUACCUGAAGAAUAAGCACCGGCUAACUACGUGCCAGCCGCCGCAGUAACAC
rnacentral:rRNA from 1 species